CGCAAUUUCGCGGCUUACCAUGCGAGUCGAACGGAAAGGUCUCUUCGGAGACACUCGAGUGGCGAACGGGUGAGUAACACGUGGGCAAUCUGCCCUGCACACCGGGAUAAGCCUGGGAAACUGGGUCUAAUACCGGAUAGGACCACUUGGCGCAUGCCUUGUGGUGGAAAGCUUUUGCGGUGUGGGAUGGGCCCGCGGCCUAUCAGCUUGUUGGUGGGGUGACGGCCUACCAAGGCGACGACGGGUAGCCGGCCUGAGAGGGUGUCCGGCCACACUGGGACUGAGAUACGGCCCAGACUCCUACGGGAGGCAGCAGUGGGGAAUAUUGCACAAUGGGCGCAAGCCUGAUGCAGCGACGCCGCGUGGGGGAUGACGGCCUUCGGGUUGUAAACCUCUUUCACCAUCGACGAAGGUCCGGGUUCUCUCGGAUUGACGGUAGGUGGAGAAGAAGCACCGGCCAACUACGUGCCAGCAGCCGCGGUAAUACGUAGGGUGCGAGCGUUGUCCGGAAUUACUGGGCGUAAAGAGCUCGUAGGUGGUUUGUCGCGUUGUUCGUGAAAUCUCACGGCUUAACUGUGAGCGUGCGGGCGAUACGGGCAGACUAGAGUACUGCAGGGGAGACUGGAAUUCCUGGUGUAGCGGUGGAAUGCGCAGAUAUCAGGAGGAACACCGGUGGCGAAGGCGGGUCUCUGGGCAGUAACUGACGCUGAGGAGCGAAAGCGUGGGGAGCGAACAGGAUUAGAUACCCUGGUAGUCCACGCCGUAAACGGUGGGUACUAGGUGUGGGUUUCCUUCCUUGGGAUCCGUGCCGUAGCUAACGCAUUAAGUACCCCGCCUGGGGAGUACGGCCGCAAGGCUAAAACUCAAAGGAAUUGACGGGGGCCCGCACAAGCGGCGGAGCAUGUGGAUUAAUUCGAUGCAACGCGAAGAACCUUACCUGGGUUUGACAUGCACAGGACGCGUCUAGAGAUAGGCGUUCCCUUGUGGCCUGUGUGCAGGUGGUGCAUGGCUGUCGUCAGCUCGUGUCGUGAGAUGUUGGGUUAAGUCCCGCAACGAGCGCAACCCUUGUCUCAUGUUGCCAGCGGGUAAUGCCGGGGACUCGUGAGAGACUGCCGGGGUCAACUCGGAGGAAGGUGGGGAUGACGUCAAGUCAUCAUGCCCCUUAUGUCCAGGGCUUCACACAUGCUACAAUGGCCGGUACAAAGGGCUGCGAUGCCGCGAGGUUAAGCGAAUCCUUUUAAAGCCGGUCUCAGUUCGGAUCGGGGUCUGCAACUCGACCCCGUGAAGUCGGAGUCGCUAGUAAUCGCAGAUCAGCAUCGCUGCGGAAUGUA
rnacentral:rRNA from 1 species